rnacentral:rRNA from 1 species
AUGACAAGCAAACCAGUGCCGCCGGCACGGCCUCCUGUCCCGUCUCCGGCCCCGGCGUAUACUGCGCAGGCGGCUGGGCAAAACGCGCCGUCUACAGCUAAUGGGUUGUCCAAGACGCCCCCUCCUUGCCAGAGCUACAGCAACAGCACGCAGAAUCGACCGCCGUUCAGACCCGGUGAAGAGCGUAGUACUACUGGUGGUAAAGUGACAGCCGCCAAGGCCAUGUCUUCUAAGUGA